AUUGAACGCUGGCGGCAGGCUUAACACAUGCAAGUCGAGCGGAGAUGAGGUGCUUGCACCUUAUCUUAGCGGCGGACGGGUGAGUAAUGCUUAGGAAUCUGCCAUUUAGUGGGGGACAACAUUCCGAAAGGAAUGCUAAUACCGCAUACGUCCUACGGGAGAAAGCAGGGGAUCUUCGGACCUUGCGCUAAAUGAUGAGCCUAAGUCGGAUUAGCUAGUUGGUGGGGUAAAGGCCUACCAAGGCGACGAUCUGUAGCGGGUCUGAGAGGAUGAUCCGCCACACUGGGACUGAGACACGGCCCAGACUCCUACGGGAGGCAGCAGUGGGGAAUAUUGGACAAUGGGCGGAAGCCUGAUCCAGCCAUGCCGCGUGUGUGAAGAAGGCCUUUUGGUUGUAAAGCACUUUAAGCGAGGAGGAGGCUACUAGUACUAAUACUACUGGAUAGUGGACGUUACUCGCAGAAUAAGCACCGGCUAACUCUGUGCCAGCAGCCGCGGUAAUACAGAGGGUGCGAGCGUUAAUCGGAUUUACUGGGUGUAAAGCGUGCGUAGGCGGCUUUUUAAGUCGGAUGUGAAAUCCCCGAGCUUAACUUGGGAAUUGCAUUCGAUACUGGGAAGCUAGAGUAUGGGAGAGGAUGGUAGAAUUCCAGGUGUAGCGGUGAAAUGCGUAGAGAUCUGGAGGAAUACCGAUGGCGAAGGCAGCCAUCUGGCCUAAUACUGACGCUGAGGUACGAAA
rnacentral:rRNA from 1 species